AUAAUGGGUCAGCGACUUAUAUUCUGUAGCAAGGUUAACCGAAUAGGGGAGCCGAAGGGAAACCGAGUCUUAACUGGGCGUUAAGUUGCAGGGUAUAGACCCGAAACCCGGUGAUCUAGCCAUGGGCAGGUUGAAGGUUGGGUAACACUAACUGGAGGACCGAACCGACUAAUGUUGAAAAAUUAGCGGAUGACUUGUGGCUGGGGGUGAAAGGCCAAUCAAACCGGGAGAUAGCUGGUUCUCCCCGAAAGCUAUUUAGGUAGCGCCUCGUGAAUUCAUCUCCGGGGGUAGAGCACUGUUUCGGCAAGGGGGUCAUCCCGACUUACCAACCCGAUGCAAACUGCGAAUACCGGAGAAUGUUAUCACGGGAGACACACGGCGGGUGCUAACGUCCGUCGUGAAGAGGGAAACAACCCAGACCGCCAGCUAAGGUCCCAAAGUCAUGGUUAAGUGGGAAACGAUGUGGGAAGGCCCAGACAGCCAGGAUGUUGGCUUAGAAGCAGCCAUCAUUUAAAGAAAGCGUAAUAGCUCACUGGUCGAGUCGGCCUGCGCGGAAGAUGUAACGGGGCUAAACCAUGCACCGAAGCUGCGGCAGCGACGCUUAUGCGUUGUUGGGUAGGGGAGCGUUCUGUAAGCCUGCGAAGGUGUGCUGUGAGGCAUGCUGGAGGUAUCAGAAGUGCGAAUGCUGACAUAAGUAACGAUAAAGCGGGUGAAAAGCCCGCUCGCCGGAAGACCAAGGGUUCCUGUCCAACGUUAAUCGGGGCAGGGUGAGUCGACCCCUAAGGCGAGGCCGAAAGGCGUAGUCGAUGGGAAACAGGUUAAUAUUCCUGUACUUGGUGUUACUGCGAAGGGGGGACGGAGAAGGCUAUGUUGGCCGGGCGACGGUUGUCCCGGUUUAAGCGUGUAGGCUGGUUUUCCAGGCAAAUCCGGAAAAUCAAGGCUGAGGCGUGAUGACGAGGCACUACGGUGCUGAAGCAACAAAUGCCCUGCUUCCAGGAAAAGCCUCUAAGCAUCAGGUAACAUCAAAUCGUACCCCAAACCGACACAGGUGGUCAGGUAGAGAAUACCAAGGCGCUUGAGAGAACUCGGGUGAAGGAACUAGGCAAAAUGGUGCCGUAACUUCGGGAGAAGGCACGCUGAUAUGUAGGUGAAGUCCCUCGCGGAUGGAGCUGAAAUCAGUCGAAGAUACCAGCUGGCUGCAACUGUUUAUUAAAAACACAGCACUGUGCAAACACGAAAGUGGACGUAUACGGUGUGACGCCUGCCCGGUGCCGGAAGGUUAAUUGAUGGGGUUAGCGCAAGCGAAGCUCUUGAUCGAAGCCCCGGUAAACGGCGGCCGUAACUAUAACGGUCCUAAGGUAGCGAAAUUCCUUGUCGGGUAAGUUCCGACCUGCACGAAUGGCGUAAUGAUGGCCAGGCUGUCUCCACCCGAGACUCAGUGAAAUUGAACUCGCUGUGAAGAUGCAGUGUACCCGCGGCAAGACGGAAAGACCCCGUGAACCUUUACUAUAGCUUGACACUGAACAUUGAGCCUUGAUGUGUAGGAUAGGUGGGAGGCUUUGAAGUGUGGACGCCAGUCUGCAUGGAGCCGACCUUGAAAUACCACCCUUUAAUGUUU
rnacentral:rRNA from 1 species